AUGUCCCCCCGUACGCUCCGGCUCCUCAGCGCCUUCCGCACCCACCUGACGACUGCUCGCUACGUUUUGUUAGCG
rnacentral:sRNA from 1 species